AAUUCUUUUUCUUUAUCUUCCUCGCCGAAAACCCGCGUGCCCUAAACUCCUUCCACCGAUGUCGUUUCUCCCCAAAAAUCGCACGAGCGGUUCCUUCCUCAUGCCUAUUUCCUUCGAAGCCACUUCAUUUCCUACUCUUUCCCUUCCUGCGACGCCGGACCACCUUGCUACGCCGCCCCGCCCCGCCGACCUCGUCGACACUUGAGCGCUGGCCACCGCGAGCCCUAGCUAUCUUCUUGGUCCCGCGUCUUCUCCACCCGACGGCGUCACCACCUGCAGUGCCGCUGGCAGGACCCUUCCUCCGAUCAUUGAGUAGAACCGCACCUCAGCCCUAGCGCCGGUCAGUCGAACCUUAGUUGUCCUCGACGCUGAUCGCCACAGAGAAACCACCGGCAGCAACUUGUCUUUCCGGUCUGGCUCAGAUAAAAGUUUAGCUAGAUUACAGCCACCACGACACUGUGGGUUGGAGUUUUCCUUCGCUGGAGUCUUGGAUCACCUCCGACCAGUGGAGAGGAAGAAGGUAAGGUUGAUGCUGUCAGGAGGGAGUUCCAGUCGCUAGUCCUCACUGCACGUAGUGCUGGUCCUGC